rnacentral:tRNA from 1 species
GGUCGCGUAGCUCAGUCGGUUAGAGCGUCACACUAAUAAUGUGAAGGUCGCGAGUUCGACCCUCGUCGUGACCA